rnacentral:rRNA from 1 species
UACGUAGGUGGCAAGCGUUAUCCGGAUUUACUGGGUGUAAAGGGCGUGUAGGCGGGACUGCAAGUCAGAUGUGAAAACCACGGGCUCAACCUGUGGCCUGCAUUCGGAACUGUAGUUCUUGAGUACUGGAGAGGCAGACGGAAUUCCUAGUGUAGCGGUGAAAUGCGUAGAUAUUAGGAGGAACACCAGUGGCGAAGGCGGUCUGCUGGACAGCAACUGACGCUGAGGCGCGAAAGCGUGGGGAGCAAACAGG